rnacentral:rRNA from 1 species
GGUUUGAGAGGAUGAUCCGCCACACUGGGACUGAGACACGGCCCAGAUUCCUACGGGAGGCAGCAGUGGGGAAUAUUGGACAAUGGGGGGAACCCUGAUCCAGCCAUGCCGCGUGUGUGAAGAAGGCCUUAUGGUUGUAAAGCACUUUAAGCGAGGAGGAGGCUACUUUAGUUAAUACCUAGAGAUAGUGGACGUUACUCGCAGAAUAAGCACCGGCUAACUCUGUGCCAGCAGCCGCGGUAAUACAGAGGGUGCGAGCGUUAAUCGGAUUUACUGGGCGUAAAGCGUGCGUAGGCGGCUUAUUAAGUCGGAUGUGAAAUCCCCGAGCUUAACUUGGGAAUUGCAUUCGAUACUGGUGAGCUAGAGUAUGGGAGAGGAUGGUAGAAUUCCAGGUGUAGCGGUGAAAUGCGUAGAGAUCUGGAGGAAUACCGAUGGCGAAGGCAGCCAUCUGGCCUAAUACUGACGCUGAGGUACGAAAGCAUGGGGAGCAAACAGGAUUAGAUACCCUGGUAGUCCAUGCCGUAAACGAUGUCUACUAGCCGUUGGGGCCUUUGAGGCUUUAGUGGCGCAGCUAACGCGAUAAGUAGACCGCCUGGGGAGUACGGUCGCAAGACUAAAACUCAAAUGAAUUGACGGGGGCCCGCACAAGCGGUGGAGCAUGUGGUUUAAUUCGAUGCAACGCGAAGAACCUUACCUGGCCUUGACAUACUAGAAACUUUCCAGAGAUGGAUUGGUGCCUUCGGGAAUCUAGAUACAGGUGCUGCAUGGCUGUCGUCAGCUCGUGUCGUGAGAUGUUGGGUUAAGUCCCGCAACGAGCGCAACCCUUUUCCUUACUUGCCAGCAUUUCGGAUGGGAACUUUAAGGAUACUGCCAGUGACAAACUGGAGGAAGGCGGGGACGACGUCAAGUCAUCAUGGCCCUUACGGCCAGGGCUACACACGUGCUACAAUGGUCGGUACAAAGGGUUGCUACACAGCGAUGUGAUGCUAAUCUCAAAAAGCCGAUCGUAGUCCGGAUUGGAGUCUGCAACUCGACUCCAUGAAGUCGGAAUCGCUAGUAAUCGCGGAUCAGAAUGCCGCGGUGAAUACGUUCCCGGGCCUUGUACACACCGCCCGUCACACCAUGGGAGUUUGUGCACCAGAAGUAGCUAGCCUAACUGCAAAGAGGGCGGUUGUAACA